GAUGAACGCUGGCGGCGUGCCUAAUACAUGCAAGUCGAGCGAACGGACGAGAAGCUUGCUUCUCUGAUGUUAGCGGCGGACGGGUGAGUAACACGUGGAUAACCUACCUAUAAGACUGGGAUAACUUCGGGAAACCGGAGCUAAUACCGGAUGAUAUUUUGAACCGCAUGGUUCAAAAGUGAAAGACGGUCUUGCUGUCACUUAUAGAUGGAUCCGCGCUGCAUUAGCUAGUUGGUAAGGUAACGGCUUACCAAGGCAACGAUGCAUAGCCGACCUGAGAGGGUGAUCGGCCACACUGGAACUGAGACACGGUCCAGACUCCUACGGGAGGCAGCAGUAGGGAAUCUUCCGCAAUGGGCGAAAGCCUGACGGAGCAACGCCGCGUGAGUGAUGAAGGUCUUCGGAUCGUAAAACUCUGUUAUUAGGGAAGAACAUAUGUGUAAGUAACUGUGCACAUCUUGACGGUACCUAAUCAGAAAGCCACGGCUAACUACGUGCCAGCAGCCGCGGUAAUACGUAGGUGGCAAGCGUUAUCCGGAAUUAUUGGGCGUAAAGCGCGCGUAGGCGGUUUUUUAAGUCUGAUGUGAAAGCCCACGGCUCAACCGUGGAGGGUCAUUGGAAACUGGAAAACUUGAGUGCAGAAGAGGAAAGUGGAAUUCCAUGUGUAGCGGUGAAAUGCGCAGAGAUAUGGAGGAACACCAGUGGCGAAGGCGACUUUCUGGUCUGUAACUGACGCUGAUGUGCGAAAGCGUGGGGAUCAAACAGGAUUAGAUACCCUGGUAGUCCACGCCGUAAACGAUGAGUGCUAAGUGUUAGGGGGUUUCCGCCCCUUAGUGCUGCAGCUAACGCAUUAAGCACUCCGCCUGGGGAGUACGACCGCAAGGUUGAAACUCAAAGGAAUUGACGGGGACCCGCACAAGCGGUGGAGCAUGUGGUUUAAUUCGAAGCAACGCGAAGAACCUUACCAAAUCUUGACAUCCUUUGACAACUCUAGAGAUAGAGCCUUCCCCUUCGGGGGACAAAGUGACAGGUGGUGCAUGGUUGUCGUCAGCUCGUGUCGUGAGAUGUUGGGUUAAGUCCCGCAACGAGCGCAACCCUUAAGCUUAGUUGCCAUCAUUAAGUUGGGCACUCUAAGUUGACUGCCGGUGACAAACCGGGGGAAGGUGGGGAUGACGUCAAAUCAUCAUGCCCCUUAUGAUUUGGGCUACACACGGGCUACAAUGGACAAUACAAAGGGCAGCGAAACCGCGAGGUCAAGCAAAUCCCAUAAAGUUGUUCUCAGUUCGGAUUGUAGUCUGCAACUCGACUACAUGAAGCUGGAAUCGCUAGUAAUCGUAGAUCAGCAUGCUACGGUGAAUACGUUCCCGGGUCU
rnacentral:rRNA from 1 species